rnacentral:lncRNA from 1 species
CUGACAGUAGCAUGGCCUGUUACCACUGAGCCUUUGAGAUCUGUCUCAUGGAAAGGCACUACAUCACAGAUUGUAUGUGUAGCCUGCUCUUAAAAGCUAAAAAGUAUAAGAAGGUGAACAAAUUGUCCUUUCUGUUACCUAUACUGGCCCUUCUCAAAUCCUUCGGGACCUUUCUCUGCUUCUUAAGUAGCACUGCGCAGUAAUAGACUGAGGGUGGCUGACUGUUUCUGCUCAGCAGCUGGGGUGGAGUCAAACUUAUUUGUUCAACUGGUUAUGCUUAAUUUAAGGUGGGUCAUUUAAAUGAAGGUUGCAUUCGUAUGAUUUAGGGGAAGGAAAACAGAGGAGGAACACAGAAGUAGAGACUUGUGAGGUUUUGUAGCUGGAAGGACUCAGCUGCUUACAGAUGUUUUUCUAGAGUGCCAAAAGACGUCGAAGAACAAUCUGACUUUUCUCCCCUGCUGGAGUCCAGUGAAUGAUCCAGGUGAUCUGCAAAGCUUCAGGUCAAAAUGGGCAAUGAAAACAGCAGCCCAGAAAAUCAGGACAUUCCUCCUGUUACAGAACCUGUGCAGCCACCCAGUAAUGACAGAGAGAUAAAAAAGAAAAAACAGAGGAAAAAAACCAGAGACAGAUCUGUUGACCAAGAAGGUUUUGAUACCUCGUCUUUAGAUUCUGCUGUUUCAUUACCGGUGCCAGAUAAUGGCUCGUCCUUCAUGCCAGGAGAAGCAAGGUAGGUGCAAGAUACUUCCUUUGUUGAUGAAAGAAUGCAACUAAUGAACUAGGCUUCAACUACAGUAGGCAUAUCUCCUAGAAUCUCCUAGUUAACUGCGGUGUCACUCAGUACUUCAUUAAUAGUUCUGUUAUAUUCAUGGACAGUGCAAUCAAAAGGUUUUGUUACAUUUCAUACUUGCGGUGAAGUAA